AUCUGUGUUUCCUUGUCUCUCCCCCCUCUUCCCAAAAUUUAAAAAAUCAUAAUAACAUGCUCAGGUUUACUCCACUUUUCUAUCUUCCCUUGAUUGCCCAAUGUUCCCUGUCUCUGGAGAAAACAUAAAUCACAGCCACUGAAGAGGGCAACAACACAAAGGGAAGGAAGUAAAGAAAUCAACCUGCCUCCUUCUCCUACUCCCAGAUUUCCAACACAAGUGAUAACAGAGCUGUGAGAGGAGAUGGCUAAGUCAGCUUUGCUUCCUGAAAAAUGUACGGGAUUACAGCAGAAUUUCUGCAGGAUGUUAACAGUUUCCAGGCUGCAGAACAAGAAGAAGAGGAUCCAAAUGUAGCCUGCCAGUCUUGAUAAGUUGAGAAGAGAGAGACGGGCAUUUAAAGAAACAAGAAGGCUACUCUUCGAAGGUUGUUAAAUGGAAG